GGGAAUUUGGCUUAAUGGCAGAGUGCUUGCCUAACAUGCAUGAAGCCCUGGGUUCGAUUCCUCAGAACCA
rnacentral:tRNA from 1 species